CAGGCAGGCCAGCAGGAGGGAGAGAGCGAGAGAGAGAGAGCAGGCAGGCCAGCAGGAGGGAGAGAGCGAGAGAGAGAGCAGGCAGGCCAGAAGGAGGGAGAGAGCGAGAGAGAGAGAGAGCAGGCAGGCCAGCAGGAGGAGAGAGAAAGACAGAGCAGGCAGGCCAGCAGGAGGGGGAGAGAGAGAGCAGGCAGGCCAGCAGGAGGGAGAGAGAGAGAGAGCAGGCAGGCCAGCAGGAGGGAGAGAGCGAGAGCAGGCAGGCCAGCAGGAGGGGGAGAGAGCGAGAGCAGGCAGGCCAGCAGGAGGGAGAGAGAGAGAGAGCAGGCAGGCCAGCAAGAGGGGAGAGAGAGAGCAGGCAGGCCAGCAAGAGGGGGAGAGAGAGAGCAGGCAGGCCAGCAGGAGGGGGAGAGAGGAGGGGAAGGCAGAAGUGUGCUCAUAUGUUUUGGUAAUCUGCAUCUCACAAUGUCUGGUCUUGCAUGCUUUACAAAUUCACCAAAGUAGCCUAAAGUUCACCUUCACCCUGUAUUUUCAUCAAGGCCUUAGUUUGUCAACGUGACCACCAGCCCAGGGCGUAUCUACCCUUCUCUGUUCCUGCCUCUAACUUCCCUCUGUAACUGGGUAUAUAAUACAAACCAACACAGUGAUCCAUUCAGCACCGAGACUCACAAGAAACUAGUCCAACCAAAACACAGCAGAGAAAGAAUGAGGCUCGUCCAACCAAAACACAGCAGAGAAAGAAUGAGGCUCGUCCAACCAAAACACAGCAGAGAAAGAAAGAGGCUCGUCCAACCAAAACACAGCAGAGAAAGAAAGAGGCUCGUCCAACC
ensembl:lncRNA